UUAGUUUCUCUGUAGUAACACAUCCUUCGCGACACUAAGUGAUAAUAUGAACUGCAACAAAGAUAUUGGUCAUGCUAAACAAAGCAGAAUCCUUUUUGGUCCACCUGCAAGGAAAGAAUUUCAUGAUUCGCGAGGAUUAGGAAGAAUCAUUUAUGAAAAACUCAAA